rnacentral:rRNA from 1 species
AAGCUCGUAGUUGAAUUUCGAAUGUGGCUGGGCGGUCCGCCUCACGGUGUGUACUGUCUGGCUGUGUUCUCUUUCUUGGUGAGCCGGCAUGCCCUUUACUGGGUGUGUUGGGGAACCAGGACGUUUACCUUGAGAAAAUUAGAGUGUUCAAAGCAGGCCUACGCCCGAAUACAUUAGCAUGGCAUAAUAAAAUAGGACGUGCGGUUCUAUUUUGUUGGUUUCUAGAGCCGCAGUAAUGAUUAAUAGGGAUAGUUGGG